rnacentral:tRNA from 1 species
AUUUAAAUAGUUUAAAUAAAAUGUUGGUUUGUGGGGCCAAAGAUAUGAUAAAUUUCAUUUUAAAUC